rnacentral:rRNA from 1 species
CCUACGGGUGGCAGCAGUGGGGAAUAUUGGGCAAUGGGCGAAAGCCUGACCCAGCAACGCCGCGUGAAGGAAGAAGGCUUUCGGGUUGUAAACUUCUUUUGACAGGGAAGAGCAGAAGACGGUACCUGUCGAAUAAGCCACGGCUAACUACGUGCCAGCAGCCGCGGUAAUACGUAGGUGGCAAGCGUUAUCCGGAUUUACUGGGUGUAAAGGGAGCGUAGACGGCAGUGCAAGUCUGGAGUGAAAGGCGGGGGCUCAACCCCCGGACUGCUCUGGAAACUGUACGGCUGGAGUGCAGGAGAGGUAAGUGGAAUUCCUAGUGUAGCGGUGAAAUGCUUAGAUAUCACGAAGAACUCCGAUUGCGAAGGCAGCUUACUAAACUGCCACUGACAUUGAUGCUCGAAAGUGUGGGUAUCAAACAGGAUUAGAUACCCGGGUAGUC